UUUUUACUUUAGAUUUUUAUUUCUUGUUAAGAUAGAUUUCUGGAAGUGGAAUUAUUGAAUUAAAGGGUAGGAAUAAUUUCAGGUACUUUGUGUCAUGGUGCAAAAGUCCAAAAGGACUGUGCAAAUGAAAGAACCAGUAUGCCCUGUAACGCCACCAACUUUGGAGUCAGUCAGUCAGUUCUAGCUCUGAAUAUCAGCAUCCAUGCUCUGUGACCUGGAACAAGUCAUUUUACCUCACUGAAUACUCUCCCAAUUUGUAAAUAAGCCAUCAAAAGAAAAAUAAUAAGGUGGCUCAUAAUAUUCACUUCAGAAAAUUGUUAGGAUUAAAAAUAAACACAGUUAAAUUUUUUUUGGUAAUAGUUGAUUUGACAAAUAUUAAUUAUUCGAUUAAGCUAAGAAAAAGACUGGAUGGCUGGGGGGAGAGGUGGCUUGGAGGAAGCCCCACAGGUAACAGGUAACAGAUAACAUUAUUACUACAUUUGUAUAUUCAUUUGGGUUACACAAAUCCAAGCUGUGCUAGGAACUUGGAAUAUAGUGAGUAACAAAAACAGAUGGAGACCAGCAUUACAUAAAAAAUUAUCGAAAGAACAUACAAUUGCAAACCACGACAAACGAACUUUUAAAUAAAGUAAGGGGAACAACGAAGAGGCUCUAGAAGAUAUCAAGCGACAUCAAAAAGACAAACUUCAAAGGUGACUAGAGCCCUUAGCCCACUGAAGGAGUAUACUUAUCAGCAACCCCUUCUGGAACUUUUUAUGUGUUUGGGGCUCUCUCCGCUAACAUCCCUAGGGGCCCGAGAGAGCUACAAAGUGGGCGGUGUGUCCAGACCGAAGGGGUGGGGCCCUGCCCCGGGGAGUGGCUCAGCACAGGAUCCCCAGGGACAACCCCGGGCAGGUCUGGGGAAGGAGGUCGGGGCCAUGGGCGCGGGCACCACGGGGUCCGACGACGCCGAGGCGCUGGACGCAGUGCUGGGCACGCUGCUGGCAGUACUGGUGCUGGUGGUGGUCAAGGCGGCCGUGGACGUGCUGCGGCGGCGGCGAGCGCACGCGACCGUCCUGGUGGUGGGCGCAGGGCCGGUGGGGCUGACCGCGGCUCUCGUCGCUGUCCGCUCGAGCCGGGUGCUGAAGCUGACCGUGCUGGACGCGUGCGCGCGGGGUCCGCUGCUGGGGCGCCCGCAGCAGAUUGCGCUGGACCCCCGCAGCGUCCGCUUCCUCCAGCCGCUGGGAGUGGACUUCGACAACAUGGAAGGCUGCUGGCGCAAUGGCCAAUUCUUCACCCGGGUCGGCGUCUUCCAGGAGCACCUGCUCAGCCUCCUGGAGAGGAAGGGCCAGCUGCCUGGCUUUCGUCUUAUUCUGGGCACCAAGUUUACAGAUGACUUCAUGAGAAAGGUGGUAGUGCCAGACUGGCCCAAAAUCAUUGUGGUGGCUGAUGGCUCCCAUGGGGAGACCUGCUCUGUUCUGGGGCUCAGUCCAGAUUAUGUAGUGGAAUCCUGCAAUGCUUACGGAGCUAACGCCACCAUCACGAGACUGGACCAGAGACAGGUGCCCACACCAGAAAUCCGAGCCCACAACCUCUACCUCGAUCUCUCUGCUUAUGGGAUCGAGUUCACUUCUGCAACAAAGGAAUCCCCAAUCUCGCAUCAGGCAGUCAAACAGCCAGGUUUCCACCUGAAAAUCUACGGAACCUUCCGCCAUCGAUAUAUCGCUUUGGCAUGUCCAGCUUCUGAUUCCAAAGUUGUUAGAUUUCUCCGUCAUACUGUCAGCUCCUCAGUCAUGAAGACCAUCUUCCACCAAGCGUUCAACGCCUACAAGAUGGACAUCGAGCCCCGCGUGAGGGACGCCGCCAUGUCCCGGGUGCAGUGCAGCAGAAGGCUGUUUGAGAUCACGCUGUCCCACCGGCGGGCCACAGCUGCCUACAUCCAGGGCAUAGGCAGGGUAGUCACUGUGGAGGGAGAGGCAGCUCGAGUGCUCAACUUUGACACGGCUGGAAAAUGGAUGUGAUACACAGAGCUCAAGCAGCCAUCUUGGACCGUGAGAUGAGGGUCACAUACAGGGAAUUGAAGAAAGCUACAAAGAGGCCAGGUCCCUGACAACUUUAUGGAACUCUCAUGCCUAGUCUUUACUCCCCAAUUCCAUAUUCAUAUGAGAGAAAUAAACCUCACGUGUUUAAACCUCUAUUAAGUUGGGUGUUCUGCUGCUUGAGUCAAACCUUCUCCAAGAAAUUACACCACAUAUGCUUCUUUUGCUUUCCAGAUUCCAAAAUGUUCUUUCUGUAAUCUUCUCUCCCGCCCUCUUUGUCCUUAUAUAUUUAUUUACCUAAAUAAAAUAAAAAGUUCUGCUUUUG
rnacentral:lncRNA from 1 species